rnacentral:rRNA from 1 species
CCGUAGGUGAACCUGCGGAAGGAUCAUUAAUGGUGCUUGCAGAAAUGCUUGCACGGCGGCGGCCUUAAAACGCGCCAAAUGGCACCCUUUGUUUACGAGUACCGUUCGUUUCCUCGGUGGGCUUGCCUGCCAUGAGGACCAACAAAAACCUUUUGUAGUAGCAGUAUCUUCAGUAAAAACAAAUAUUAAAACUUUCAACAACGGAUCUCUUGGUUCUGGCAUCGAUGAAGAACGCAGCGAAAUGCGAUAAGUAGUGUGAAUUGCAGAAUUCAGUGAAUCAUCGAAUCUUUGAACGCACAUUGCGCCCCUUGGUAUUCCGAGGGGCAUGCCUAUUCGAGCGUCAUUAUCACCCCUCAAGCUUCGGCUUGGUGUUGAGGCCUGCUGUAAAGGCACCCUCUAAAAUCAGUGGCAGUGCUGUCAGGCUCUAAGCGUAGUAAUUUCAUCGCUAUAGGGUCCUGGUGGAUACUCGUCAAAACCCCCCCAUUUUUUAAUGAUUGACCUCGGAUUAGGUAGGGAUACCCGCUGAACUUAAGCAUAUCAAUAAGCGGAGG